CUGAUUUAUUUGUUCUAAAAUUUUAGAAUGGCUCUAACUUCAUUGGCAAUGACCGGAGCUGCAAAAAUUGCCUACGAUCUCAUAGCAGGUUAUCUUGAUGAUAUCAAAACAGGCUCUUACGAAAAUGAGGAACUGUGUUCGUAUUGGAACGACGAAAAAGCAAGAGAUGAACGGGCUAGAAAAGAGAGGACGUACAAAAAUGGAAGAUUCUCGCAAGAGAGGAGAACCGACGGAGUUCCCAAUGGGACAUGGUAUUUCUGCUUCACGCAUGAAGGUCUGCUCAAAAAGGGUUUGACUUUGGAUUAGAUAUCCAUAAGAAACUGUUGAAAAUAACGAAUGACAAACAAACUUGUUCAUCCAUCUUGUAAUGUCAACCAUAAUACGCAAAAAAACAGCAGCCUGAUGCAGCCGGGAGUACCCCAUUAAGAAAAGAAGGACCAAGAAAAAAAGUUCACAUUAAUAUUAUUAUAUUAUCGGUUAUUAUUAAAAUAUUAGAUUAAUUCAAAUAUGUAAAACAACAUAUAAAGGAAUGAGAUAAAAAUAUGAAAUCGAAAUUUAAUGAAAGAAUGUACGUAAUCUUAUUUCUAAAGCACACUGUAAUAAUUGCAGCAGAACAUUUUGAAAUAUAAAUCUUUUCUUUAACUGUGUAUUAAACGAAGUCUAAACAUCAGAAAAAAAAAAA